GGAGUCUGGGCCGUAUCUCAGUCCCAAUGUGGCCGUUCAACCUCUCAGUCCGGCUACUGAUCGUCGCCUUGGUGGGCCGUUACCCCUCCAACUAGCUAAUCAGACGCGAGGCCAUCUCAGAGCGAUAAUUCUUUGAUAUCCAAACCAUGCGAUUCAGAUAUGUCAUGCGGUAUUAGCAGCCGUUUCCGGCUGUUGUCCCCCUCUCCAAGGCAGGUUCCUCACGCGUUACUCACCCGUCCGCCACUUUCCUCAGCUUCCAUCGUCCGAAAACUCUUUCCACUGAUUCUCGUUCGACUUGCAUGUGUUAAGCACGCCGCCAGCGUUCGUC
rnacentral:rRNA from 1 species